CUGGCUACGGCAGCCACAUAUUCUAAAAUUUGAAUGAUACAGAGAAGAUUUGCAUGGCCCCCGUGCAAGGAUGACACACAAAUUGGUGAAGCGUUUCAUAUUUUU
rnacentral:snRNA from 1 species